GCAGAGCUGGGCAGUGUUACCUGUGGAGGUUUGCAUGCACAAAUGAGCAGAAUGGUUUCAGAUGGUGAUGUGGUCGCUCUGGAAGCAUUGCAUGCGAUUCAAGGUGGACAAAAUGCAUCACACUUUUGGCAACAAAAUAAUCAUCACAACGUCCUCACGUUGCGUUCGGAAGUUGCAUCCAAUUUGACGACUGUGUGUAUGAAGCAUGCGGCGAAGGCUGUAUCUCCUGUUCUGUUUGGUUCCUGGCCCCAUAUGCCACUUUCCUAUUUCCUGGCUGUAGACAGCAGGGAGUAGCUCUAUUAUCACCUCCACUGAGCUGUCUUUGAAUGUGAGAGGCAAUUCCAUUUCACUUUGCCACGGGGAGGAGGAGGCAGGCGUACUACCCAGCUCAAAGAAAUUGGCUAAGGGUUCAUUUUUAUAGACGGAGUGCAAGGACAACGCUUUUCCUCUUGUGUUACUGAGAGUUUCAAAUGUACUACACUAAUGCUACGAUUGCUAUGGUGAAAAUUGCUCAAUAUGGGUUUUGACAGGUGCAUGGAUCAAAACUGUUUGUUUGCAUCAGAGAGGUGUCACUGCAUUUAAAUAUUGCACAUCCAGCCAUUUAUUCAUAUAGAUUGCUAUUGAUGCACGGCCAUUCUUUAAUUUUCUUUUCGGUUUGUUUGAACUAAAACAUGGUUUAUGCAAUUAUUUCAACUAGUUCCUUGAUUUUCUGCUUUGGAGGUUUUUAAAUGUACUGCAUUGAUUGCAUGUCACGAUUGCUAUUGUGAAAAUAGUUUAAUAUUGAGAGGUGCACAGAUCAAGACUGUUUGUUUCAUAGGUGACAUUGCACUCAAGUAUUACACACAGAGUCAUUUAUUUAUAUAUUUAUGUUUCUAGCAUUGCUAUCUUAUUGAUGCAUGGUUCAAUUUGGUUUGCUUGAUUCUUCUAUAAUUAGUUUGAAUCAAAACAUUCUUUAUUCAAGUAUUUAAACUAGUUAUGAUAUAUUGUACAAUCAUGGUAUCUAAGUAUUUUACAGGUGCACAAAUCAAGACUGUUUUCAUCAGAGAGGUGCCACUGCAUUCAAAUAUUGCACAUCUAUGUUUUUAGAAUUGCUAUGAUUGAUGCAAAACCAUUUCUAAUUUUCACUUUGGUGUGAUUGAUUAUUCCAUAAUCCAAAUACAUGCUUUAUGCAAGUAUUUGAAGUAGUUUUGCAGUCUUGAUUUUGUGCAUUGCUAUAUGUCAGAAACAUGUAAAACUGCACUUGAAGGACACGUUGCACUCUUGCCAUUGCCACAUGAUGCGCUAUGGUUUCUAUCAGCACAAAUAGUUUUCUUCUACAGUCAGUUUUCUUAGUUAGUAUAGUAAGUUCAAUUAUAACACAGAAAUGUCCUAUUAUGCAUUUGAUUGCUGCUGCUUCGUGCAACCACAGUAAUGUGAAAAUGCACAUAAAAGUUGAACCACAAAAUUGCGUGGUUGUAAUGCAUUGAGUAA
rnacentral:lncRNA from 1 species